ensembl:miRNA gmo-mir-11204a gmo-mir-11204a
UCUUUUCGCUCGGUUCUAGCCCUACUGUCGAUACGGCGAACCGAGUGAAAAGACUA